AGAACUUCGCCAGAUCACAAAGGAGAAAAUGAAGCUGUCCGUGGUCAAGAUUUUGAAAAGGUGCCUGGUUUAUUCUCGAUCCGGUGCAUAAAAUUCCACUUGACUGGUUAAUUUCUUAUUGAAAGCAUUGAGAUGUUCCAGAUGUUCAAUUUUAAUUCCUCCUAUAUGGUUUUGAAUUGUAUUUUUCAGCUAAUUCAACUAAUCACUACACAUACAAGAUUAAUAAUUCCUUACAUCUCUAUGCAUACCUUGAUAGACAAAAACAAAGAGAUGAGCAAGGCCGAAUCUGAGGAAGGAGAUGCGGUCCUCUAGUGACAGAGGCAGAUAUUCAGCACAUGGCCUCUUCCUG
rnacentral:lncRNA from 1 species